UUUCCUGUUUGCCCACUUGCCCAUGUACAUGUGUACUGUUAUAUUAUGUAUGUCCUAUAUAUACGAGGUUGGCAACGCUGGAUUUUCGGUACCUCCUUAUUGAAGGCACACCUAUGCAUGUGCUCUAUCCAUCUAGUUCGUUGUUUGACAUGCCCAAAGAGUGUGUGUGUGUGUGUGUUGGUUGGUUGGUUGGUUGCAGGUCCAGGUGUAUGUCCUAGGUAUUGUGCGCUCUGUCACAUGCCAACGACACCCAGGCAGGAAGGGAGGAAUGAUCUGUUAAAGAGAACUCGGGAAUAAACAGCAGGGAGCACCAAACACUCGCUGGGUUGGUAUAAAUGUAUCCAGCAGAGGCACACACACACACACAUACACACACACACACACACACACACACACACACACAAGAAAAACAAUCCACUGGAUCAUUUGUGCUAUAUAGUUGUUCCCCCUUCUGCCCGUAUUAAGGUAUUACUACUCGUUUUUCCUUGAUGUAGCCAGCACUGAAACGGCACCAUGCAUGUUUGGCUUUACGACAUAGUUUAUAAGCUAGUUGCUAUUCUGGGGAUGCGAGCAUCAAAGGUACGACAUGNGUGUGUCGGUGGCCCUACGGCCC
rnacentral:lncRNA from 1 species